rnacentral:rRNA from 1 species
GAUGAACGCUGGCGGCGUGCUUAACACAUGCAAGUCACGGGGGCCCAGCAAUGGGUAACCGGCGAACGGGUGCGUAACACGUGAGCAACCUACCGAAAUGAGGGGGAUAGCCGUCCCAACGGACGGGUAAUACCGCAUAAGCUCUAGUUCAGGCAUUUGGAUUAGAGGAAACCUCCGGGGCAUUUCGAGGGGCUCGCGGCCUAUCAGCUAGUUGGUGAGGUAACGGCUCACCAAGGCGACGACGGGAGCUGGUCUGAGAGGAUGGCCAGCCACAUUGGGACUGAGAUACGGCCCAGACUCCUACGGGAGGCAGCAGUGGGGAAUCUUGCGCAAUGGCCUAACGGCUGACGCAGCGACGCCGCGUGAGGGAUGACGCUCUUCGGAGUGUAAACCUCUUUUGCCUGAGACGAAUUGCCAGCUUCAGCUGGUUUGACUGUAUCGGGUGAAUAAGCACCGGCUAACUCCGUGCCAGCAGCCGCAGUAAC